rnacentral:rRNA from 1 species
GUCUGUCGCGUCUGCUGUGAAAACGUGGGGCUCAACCCCGCGCGUGCAGUGGGUACGGGCAGACUGGAGUGCAGUAGGGGAGACUGGAAUUCCUGGUGUAGCGGUGAAAUGCGCAGAUAUCAGGAGGAACACCGGUGGCGAAGGCGGGUCUCUGGGCUGUUACUGACGCUGAGGAGCGAAAGCGUGGGGAGCGAACAGGAUUAGAUACCCUGGUAGUCCACGCCGUAAACGUUGGACGCUAGGUGUGGGUCCCAUUCCACGGGGUCUGUGCCGCAGCUAACGCAUUAAGCGCCCCGCCUGGGGAGUACGGCCGCAAGGCUAAAACUCAAAGGAAUUGACGGGGCCCCGCACAAGCGGCGGAGCAUGCGGAUUAAUUCGAUGCAACGCGAAGAACCUUACCAAGGCUUGACAUGCACGGUAAUCCGGUAGAGAUACCGGGUCCGCAAGGGAUCGUGCACAGGUGGUGCAUGGUUGUCGUCAGCUCGUGUCGUGAGAUGUUGGGUUAAGUCCCGCAACGAGCGCAACCCUCGUUCCAUGUUGCCAGCAACACGAAAGUGGUUGGGGACUCAUGGGAGACUGCCGGGGUCAACUCGGAGGAAGGUGGGGAUGACGUCAAAUCAUCAUGCCCCUUACGUCCAGGGCUACACACGUGCUACAUUGGCCGGUACAAAGGGCUGCAAACCCGUGAGGGGGAGCGAAUCCCAAAAAACCGGUCCCGGUUCGGAUUGAAGGCUGAAACUCGCCUUCAUGAAGGCGGAGUUGCUAGUAAUC